UACUUCUGUGGGAAAUUUCAAGAUGUUUCAUAUCUGGUCAUUAAUUCGAAUCCAGGAGUAAUCACUUUGAUGAUGCUAACAAAAAUCAGAUGGUUGUAGGGAAGAAAGAAACACCCCAUCUCGUACAACGUGGUAAACAACUAAUUGGUAACUAUCUUCUUCAAUCGAUUAUUUCUAAUAUUGAUCUACGAGAAGAUCUUACUGAUGCAGUGAAGGAAUUUGUGAAAUUUUGGUUUAAAAUUGGGGACUCUGUGGGUUAAGAGUAGAGAUUUGGAGCGUCGAGUUGGUUCUGCUGGGUUUUUCUAGUGCUAGUUAACUUCAUCCAAGAAUGCAUGAGAUCGUUCAGAUAACAUCACAAUCAAGAGUACUCAACACGGUUUUUGAAGCUUCACCAGAUCCAAUGGAGUGGUAAAGGAGAAGCAGCGUCCACUGAUGCCAGGGCACUUUCAGGCCAUGACUCUUAAAAAUUUCAGACGGGUUUUAUGAAUUAUGAGCAAACACUGAUUAGAAAUCGACACAGAUGAACUGCAGAAUGAUACUUGACAGAAAAUUUGGCCUAGUCAUGUAUUCAUAUUUUUUGCAGGUACAACGUGGUAAACAACUAAUUGGUAACUAUCUUCUUCAAUCGAUUAUUUCUAAUAUUGAUCUACGAGAAGAUCUUACUGAUGCAGUGAAGGAAUUUGUGAAAUUUUGGUUUAAAAUUGGGGACUCUGUGGGUUAUUUAGAUCAAGUCUGGAUAGAGGAGACUAUUAAGAGUAGAGACAUGGUUCUUCUGCAUGUGAGUGGUUAUUUUAAGGAAGAUCAAAAAGCAGGAUAUGGAGUUAUGAUCCGGGAUGUUCAUCUCAGGCCUAUAAAAAGCAGGAAGAUCAAAAAGCAGGAUAUGGAGUUAAGAUUGAGUUUGAAAAGCAGGAUAUGGAGUUAUGAAAAUGGACUGAUUAGAUGUAUGUUAGGUGUUAUAGGGAAG